UCAACGGAGAGUUUGAUCCUGGCUCAGGACGAACGCUGGCGGCGUGCCUAACACAUGCAAGUCGAGCGGUAAGGCUCCUUCGGGAGUACACGAGCGGCGAACGGGUGAGUAACACGUGAGCAACCUGCCCUUCACAUCGGAAUAACCCCGGGAAACCGGGGCUAAUACCGAAUACGACCACCGACGACAUCGUCUGGUGGUGGAAAGCUCCGGCGGUGAGGGAUGGGCUCGCGGCCUAUCAGCUAGUUGGUGGGGUAACGGCCCACCAAGGCGACGACGGGUAGCCGGCCUGAGAGGGUGAUCGGCCACACUGGGACUGAGACACGGCCCAGACUCCUACGGGAGGC
rnacentral:rRNA from 1 species